rnacentral:rRNA from 1 species
AUUGAACGCUGGCGGCAGGCCUAACACAUGCAAGUCGGACGGUAACAGGAAGAAGCUUGCUUCUUUGCUGACGAGUGGCGGACGGGUGAGUAAUGUCUGGGAAACUGCCUGAUGGAGGGGGAUAACUACUGGAAACGGUAGCUAAUACCGCAUAACGUCGCAAGACCAAAGAGGGGGACCUUCGGGCCUCUUGCCAUCGGAUGUGCCCAGAUGGGAUUAGCUAGUAGGUGGGGUAACGGCUCACCUAGGCGACGAUCCCUAGCUGGUCUGAGAGGAUGACCAGCCACACUGGAACUGAGACACGGUCCAGACUCCUACGGGAGGCAGCAGUGGGGAAUAUUGCACAAUGGGCGCAAGCCUGAUGCAGCCAUGCCGCGUGUAUGAAGAAGGCCUGCGGGUUGUAAAGUACUUUCAGCGGGGAGGAAGGGAGUAAAGUUAAUACCUUUGCUCAUUGACGUGACCCGCAGAAGAAGCACCGGCUAACUCCGU